AGUGGAUGGGGAGCAACCUAGUUGUGCGUGUGUAAAGGUAGUGCCAAGAAAAGCGGUGAUCAUGAUGAAAAUCAAUUCCCGGUACCCGAAACCGACACAGGUGGGCAAGUAGAGAAUACUAAGGGGCGCGAGGUAACUCUCUCCAAGGAACUCGGCAAAAUGACCCCGUAACUUAGGGAGAAGGGGUGCCACCGAGAGGUGGUCGCAGUGAAGAGGCCCAGGCGACUGUUUAGCAAAAACAUAGGUCUCUGCAAACUCGAAAGAGGAGGUAUAGGGGCUGACGCCUGCCCAGUGCCGGAAGGUUAAAGAAGUUGGUCAGUCUUAGGAUAAAGCUAGCGACUGAAGCCCCGGUGAACGGCGGCCGUAACUAUAACGGUCCUAAGGUAGCGAAAUUCCUUGUCGGGUAAGUUCCGACCCGCACGAAAGGCGUAACGAUCUGGGCGCUGUCUCGGAGAGAGGCUCGGCGAAAUAGGAUUGUCUGUGAAGAUACGGACUACCUGCAUUUGGACAGAAAGACCCUAUGAAGCUUUACUAUAGCUUGGAAUUGUGUUCGGGCUUCCUGUGCGCAGGAUAGGUGGGAGGCGAAGAAGGUAUUCUUGUGGGGAUACUGGAGCCAACGGUGAGAUACCACUCUCAGGAGGCUAGAAUUCUAACUUAAUUAAGGACAGUUUCAGGUGGGUAGUUUGACUGGGGCGUCGCCUCCAAAAAGGUAACGGAGGCGUACAAAGGUUCCCUCAGACUGGUUGGAAAUCAGUCGCAGAGUGCAAAGGCAGAAGGGAGCUUGACUGCGAGAAGUACAGUUCGAGCAGGGUGGAAACACGGUCUUAGUGAUCCGACGGUGCUGUGUGGAAGGGCCGUCGCUCAACGGAUAAAAGUUACUCUAAGGAUAACAGGCUGAUCUCCCCCAAGAGUUCACAUCGACGGGGAGGUUUGGCACCUCGAUGUCGGCUCAUCGCAACCUGGGGCGGAAGUACGUCCCAAGGGUUGGGCUGUUCGCCCAUUAAAGCGGUACGUGAGCUGGGUUCAGAACGUCGUGAGACAGUUCGGUCCAUAUCCGAUGUAGGCGUGAGAAUAUUGAGAGGAGCCUUCCUUAGUACGAGAGGACCGGGAAGGACGCACCGCUGGUGUACCUGUUAUGAUGCCAAUUGUAAACGCAGGGUAGCCAAGUGCGGAGAGGAUAACCGCUGAAAGCAUCUAAGUGGGAAGCCCACCUCAAGAUGAGUAUUCUGGUGUAAGGUCACGGGAAGACGACCCGUAAAUAGGCACGAGGUGGAAGUGCAGAGAUGUAUGAAGCCGAAGUGUACUAAUAGACCGUCGGCUU
rnacentral:rRNA from 1 species